rnacentral:rRNA from 1 species
CGGUUAAGUCCGGCAACGAGCGCAACCCACGCCCUUAGUUACCAGCGGUUCGGCCGGGAACUCUAGGGGAACUGCCCGUGAUAAGCGGGAGGAAGGUGUGGAUGACGUCAAGUCCUCAUGGCCCUUACGGGUUGGGCUACACACGUGCUACAAUGGCAUCUACAGAGGGUUAAUCUCUAAAAGAUGUCUCAGUUCGGAUUGUCGUCUGCAACUCGACGGCAUGAAGUCGGAAUCGCUAGUAAUCGCGUAACAGCAUGACGCGGUGAAUACGUUCCCGGGCCUUGUACACACCGCCCGUCACACCAUGGGAGUUGGUUUUACCCGACGACGCUGCGCUAACCUUCGGGAGGCAGGCGGCCACGGUAAGAUCAGCGACUGGGGUGAAGUCGUAACAAGGUAGCCGUAGGGGAACCUGCGGCUGGAUCACCUCCUUU